rnacentral:rRNA from 1 species
GUUUCUGACCUAUCAGCUUUCGACGGUAAGGUAUUGGCUUACCGUGGCAGUGACGGUUAACGGGGAAUUAGGGUUCAAUUCCGGAGAGGGAGCCUGAGAAACGGCUACCACAUCUAAGGAAGGCAGCAGGCGCGCAAAUUACCCAAUUCUAACAGCAUAAGAGAGGUAGUGACAAGAAAUAACAGUACAAGGCAGUUAAAAUGCUUUGUAAUUGGAAUGAUAGAAAUUUAAAUACUUUUUAAAGUAUCAAUUGGAGGGCAAGUCUGGUGCCAGCAGCCGCGGUAAUUCCAGCUCCAAUAGCGUAUAUUAAAAUUGUUGCAGUUAAAAAGCUCGUAGUUGAAUUUUUGCUAAAAAUAACCGGUCUGCUAUUAUUACUAAAAGUGGUAUCUUGGUGUGUUUUUAGCAAUAAUGUCCUUUGAAAUGUUUUUUACUUUAAUGUAAAAAGCAAUUUUCAGGAUUUUUACUUUGAGAAAAUUAGAGUGUUUCAAGCAGGCUAACGUUUUGAAUACUGCAGCAUGGAAUAAUAAAUUAGGAUUUUAGUUCUACGUUAUUGGUUUUAAGAGCUAAAUUAAUGAUUGAUAGGAGCAGUUGGGGGCAUUUGUAUUUAACUGUCAGAGGUGAAAUU